rnacentral:rRNA from 1 species
CCUACGGGAGGCAGCAGUGAGGAAUAUUGGUCAAUGGCCGUAAGGCUGAACCAGCCAAGUCGCGUGAAGGAAGAAGGUUCUAUGGAUCAUAAACCUCUUUUAUAAGGGAAUAAAGUGUGGGACGUGUCCUGUUUUGUAUGUACCUUAUGAAUAAGGAUCGGCUAACUCCGUGCCAGCAGCCGCGGUAAUACGGAGGAUCCGAGCGUUAUCCGGAUUUAUUGGGUUUAAAGGGUGCGUAGGCGGCCUUUUAAGUCAGCGGUGAAAGUCUGUGGCUCAACCAUAGAAUUGCCGUUGAAACUGGGGAUCUAGAGUGUGCGAGAGGUAUGCGGAAUGCGUGGUGUAGCGGUGAAAUGCAUAGAUAUCACGCAGAACCCCGAUUGCGAAGGCAGCAUACCGGUGCACAACUGACGCUCAGGCACGAAAGCGUGGGUAUCGAACAGGAUUAGAUACCCUUGUAGUC